GAUGAAGAACGUAGCGAAAUGCGAUAAGUAGUGUGAAUUGCAGAAUUCAGUGAUUCAUCGAAUCUUUGAACGCACAUUGCGCCCCUUGGUAUUCCAUGGGGCAUGCCUGUUCGAGCGUCAUUUGUACCUUCAAGCUCUGCUUGGUGUUGGGUGUUUGUCUCGCCUUUGCGUGUAGACUCGCCUUAAAACCAUUGGCAGCCGGCGUAUUGAUUUCGGAGCGCAGUACAUCUCGCGCUUUGCACUCAGAACGACGACGUCCAAAAGUACAUUUUUACACUCUUGACCUCGGAUCAGGUAGGGAUACCCGCUGAACUUAAGCAUAUCAAUAAGCGGAGGA
rnacentral:misc_RNA from 1 species